CUCAUUCAUUAAUAUAUAGCUUCAGUUUCAUAUCUGUUGAAGCUAUGUCAUUACAUAUUACAUCUAUUUUGAAAAGUACUAAUAAAGUGAAAUAAAUCUGUCAUAGAAAGACAGACUUCGGAAAUUAGGAAUGUAAUGCCCAGAAACAAAUUAGUCAAAUGUUCUUCGUAUUGGCAACAGGGCCAAUAUAUAAUUUAAUUUGACAUUGUCAUUUCCAAGACACCUUCAUUUCUUAGGCCAGCCCAGUAGGACUCCUGUCCCCAAACAAGUUAUGUCCAAUACAAUAUAUAAAAGCCCUGUUUAACAGACCAGGGACAUAGUAAGAGCAGCUACUGUUACUUAAAGAUUUAACCAACCCGCCCCAUAUGUUGCUCUUGGCCUGCUUAAUUCAAUAGCUCACAAAUUAGUGAUAUCAUAAGCACUCACCUAAAUUAAACACUUGUCACAAAGAAGUAAAAAACAUUUCUUGUCACUCUACAUUCUUUAGCCUGAACUAGUCUCUACCAUAAAUAGUCGUCCUGAUCCUUCUUUGUGACAAAAUAAUUAGCCGAAAAGCUUGCAGUAGUGUUUACACACCUGUACAUCUCUGUUUUAGUUUGGUAAGGUAAUAUGAUUGUAAUACUUUUUUAUUCUCAGUUAGGUAGAGUAUGCAGACGAGCUUUUAAAAAUUCCUUCAAACUGUAGUAAUCACAAAAUCCAUCUGCUUAUCACAGAUUUAUAUAAAGGUAAUUAAGUUGUUGGUACACCAUUCACAUUGAUGUGCAGAAUGACUAGUAAAUGAAUUGGCAAUUAAUUUGUUACAAUCUGGGAAGGAAAAACUUGACAACAUAAAUCAUAAAGAAAUGUAUUACUAAUUAUAUAGAAAGCACAUUUCAACAUUUAACCGAGGCAGUAAAUGCAGGGUUUAUUAUGGUGUUUAAAUCAAUAUUCCAAAAGGUGAGUUAUCUCUUGCAGAUGUAACCCCUUAAGGCAGGGGUUCUCAACGUUAGUCCU